GGCGAACGCUGGCGUCCUGGCCUUUAAACAUGCAAGUCGAACGGAUCCUUCGGGAUUAGUGGCGGACGGUGAGUAACACGUGGGAACGUGCCCUUUGGUUCGGAACAACUCAGUGGAAACUUGAGCUAAUACCGGAUGUGCCCUUCGGGGGAAAGAUUUAUCGCCAUUGGAGCGGCCCGCGUCUGAUUAGCUAGUUGGUGGGGUAAAGGCCCACCAAGGCGACGAUCAGUAGCUGGUCUGAGAGGAUGAUCAGCCACAUUGGGACUGAGACACGGCCCAAACUCCUACGGGAGGCAGCAGUGGGGAAUCUUGCGCAAUGGGCGAAAGCCUGACGCAGCCAUGCCGCGUGAAUGAUGAAGGUCUUAGGAUUGUAAAAUUCUUUCACCGGGGACGAUAAUGACGGUACCCGGAGAAGAAGCCCCGGCUAACUUCGUGCCAGCAGGCGCGGUAAUACGAAGGGGGCUAGCGUUGCUCGGAAUUACUGGGCGUAAAGGGAGCGUAUGCGGACUGUUACGUUAGAGGUGAAAGCCCAGGGGCUCAACCUUGAGAAUUGCCUUUGAUACUGGCAGUUUGAGUAGGAAGAGUAUGGGACUCC
rnacentral:rRNA from 1 species